rnacentral:rRNA from 1 species
GUGAGGAAUAUUGCGCAAUGGAGGCAACUCUGACGCAGCCAUGCCGCGUGCAGGAAGAAGGCGCUACGCGUUGUAAACUGCUUUUAACCGGGAAGAAACCCCAGGACGUGUCCUGGGUUGACGGUACCGGAGGAAUAAGCACCGGCUAACUUCGUGCCAGCAGCCGCGGUAAUACGAAGGGUGCAAGCGUUAUCCGGAUUCAUUGGGUUUAAAGGGUGCGUAGGCGGGGCGUUAAGUCAGUGGUGAAAUCCUGCAGCUUAACUGUAGACUUGCCAUUGAUACUGGCGCUCUUGAGUGCGCUUGAAGUGGGCGGAAUGUGCCGUGUAGCGGUGAAAUGCUUAGAUAUGGCACAGAACACCAAUUGCGAAGGCAGCUCACUAAGGCGAUACUGACGCUGAGGCACGAAAGCGUGGGGAUCGAACAGGAUUAGAUACCCUAGUAGUCC